CAGUCGCCGCGGUAAAACGGAGGGUGCAAGCGUUAUCCGGAUUUAUUGGGUUUAAAGGGUCCGUAGGCGGAUCUGUAAGUCAGUGGUGAAAUCUCACAGCUUAACUGUGAAACUGCCAUUGAUACUGCAGGUCUUGAGUAAAUUUGAAGUGGCUGGAAUAAGUAGUGUAGCGGUGAAAUGCAUAGAUAUUACUUAGAACACCAAUUGCGAAGGCAGGUCACUAAGAUUUAACUGACGCUGAUGGACGAAAGCGUGGGGAGCGAACAGGAUUAGAUACCCGGGUAGUCCCUGUCUCUUAUAC
rnacentral:rRNA from 1 species